GAUGAACGCUGGCGGCGUGCUUAACACAUGCAAGUCGAACGAUGAAGCCCAGCUUGCUGGGUUGAUUCGUGGCGAACGGGUGAGUAACACGUGAGUAACCUGCCCUUAACUCUGGGAUAAUCCUUGGCAACUUGGUCUAAUACCGGAUAGGAGCGCCUACCGCCUGGUUGGUGUUGGAGAGAUUUAUCGGUUUUGGAUGGACUCGCGGCCUAUCCGCUUGUUGGUGAGGUAAUGGCUCACCAAGUCGACGACGGGUAGCCGGCCUGAGAGGGUGACCGGCCACACGGGGACUGAGAAACGGCCCAGAAUCCAAUGGGAGGCAGCAGGGGGGAAUAUUGCACAAUGGGCGAAAGCCUGAGGCAGAGACGCCGGGUGAGGGAUGACGGCCUUUGGGUUGUAAACAUAUUUCAGUAGGGAAGAAGCGAAAGUGACGGUACCUGAAGAAGAAGCACCGGCUAACUACGUG
rnacentral:rRNA from 1 species